GCUCGAAUAGUUCAGUGGUAGAAUUUACGCUUCCCAAGCGUAAGGCGCGGGUUCGAUUCCCGCUUCGAGCA